rnacentral:lncRNA from 1 species
UUGGGUGAGUGAAAACCUAGAUCUGAUCUAGGAUUUUGGAUGAAGGAAAAACAAAAGAAAGAAAAGGGUCUUCUUCAUUCCAUCACCAAAUCCUCCUUAUCUAUCUUCACAUUCUGGAGGAGUUCGUAAGAUCUGAAGAAGGACGUAAAUCAGCCAUCAGAAGAUCAUUGUGCGAGCUAGCACUUCUGGAGCGAUCGAUCAGCAUAGGACUUCGAGUGGA